CACGUAGGGGGCAAGCGUUGUCCGGAAUCAUUGGGCGUAAAGAGCGCGUAGGCGGCCCUGUAAGUCCGCUGUGAAAGUCAAGGGCUCAACCCUUGGAUGCCGGUGGAUACUGCAGGGCUAGAGUCCGGAAGAGGCGAGUGGAAUUCCUGGUGUAGCGGUGAAAUGCGCAGAUAUCAGGAGGAACACCGAUGGCGAAGGCAGCUCGCUGGGACGGUACUGACGCUAAGGCGCGAAAGCGUGGGAGCAAACAGG
rnacentral:rRNA from 1 species